CGGGGCGUGGCGCAGCUUGGUUAGCGCACCAGACUGGGGAUCGCUGGUUUCCGCCGAAGGCGGGGAUCCGCCUUUGGCGGACAAAUCCAGUCGCCCCGA
rnacentral:tRNA from 1 species